UACCAUAAUGGAAUUUUACCUCAGUAUGGUGGAAAAGCACGUAUAGCUAGCUAGCAUUUCUCCAUAUACAUAUUAUUCUCAUAAACAUCCAAAUAUGGAUAUAUAUACAUACUCACCGAAAUUCUCAAUUUCGGUUAAUCUCUAACAACUUAAAUUAUUUUGCAUGCACAUUGUUUAAAAUAAAAGUCCACUCACUAAUUAGGCCUAAGCCUGAUGACGCUCCGAGGCUUCCUCUGCUCGGGCCUUCUCUUGUCCUGUUCCAAAAAUAUAAUUAAUUCCCCACUAAAAAUCCAAUAUUUAAUCAAAAUAGGCAAAAUUACCCGAGAGCCAUAAAUACGCUCAUCAUUGCCUAACUUCGAUAUUCUUAAAUCGAAACGAUCCGAACUUAAAUAUCAUACUCGACAGUCAUAAAUACAACCUCCCCAAAAUACGACUUAAAUCCUAUGGCCGGAUUCUACAUUAAUUAACCGCCAAAAAUACCAAACUUCGGAAAUUCACAAACCUAUCCAAAUCUCAUCCAAAAAUUCCAUAAUCACAUCAAUAUAAUCCCUUUAAUAUUCCACAUUUAAAACCCUAAAAAUCUCCCAAACCGGCGGCGGCUCCGCCGGCAGCGACGGCCGGAGGCCAAUUCCGGCGACCUCCAAAACCUAUGAAAUUUUGACAGAAUAAUCCUCUCAUCAUGCUCUACAACUUUCCUGACUAGCACAAAUACCAAUUCCAAGCCUAACUAGGGUAAUCGACUAAAAACAUCAAAAACGCCAUAAAACUUCCACCUCAAAUUUCUCCUUACCUAGCUCAAGAGGGAGUGAGUCCUUUUAGGGCAAGGCUGCUGGGUUGGAGGGCUACAAAACCGUACCAAGCUUGCCCGGAUUGGUGGCCGGAGGAGGGAGUUCCGGCGAAAUGCUUCCCGGCGUCUCCGGCGGGAUUUCUCCUCUUCCGGCAGGUUAGAGGCUCGGGGGCUAGGCCAGGGAGGGAGAGGAGGAGAUGGGGGUCCGAACUGAGGUGGAGAGGCGGCAGAUGGUGGCCGGACGGCGGCAGGAGGACGGCUGGAAAACCGGGCAGCGGGAGGGGCUCGGGAGAGAGAGGGAACCGGGAGGAGAAAAGAGAAGAAAAGAGAAAAUGGGUUUGGGCCUCACACCCCAAACCGGUCUAAGCUUAUAACAACCCAGUUCCAAAAAAUAAAACACCCCGAAAAAUAAUAUCCGAAUAAAAAUUACCUUUUACUAGCUAAAAUUUACCAUUUUUACCGUCGUCAUAUUUUCUCCCACGAAUAAUUCCCCGAAAUUAAUCGUCUUUUAAAAUACCUCUAGGGACCAAUUAAACUAUUACCUCAAUGACGGGGACGGUAAAAUUUUUAUUAUAAUCAAGCUAGUAAAUAAGGUAAAAAUAUAAGGGUCGGGAUGUGACAAUUCUCCCCUCCUUAUAAAAAUUUUGUCCUCGAAAUUUACAUACCUGUCAUCCAAAGAGAUAGGGAAACUGCUGCAUCAUUUCCUCCUCUGAUUCCCAAGUAGCUUCUUCUACUUGAUGACUUCUCCAAAGCACCUUGACAAACGGAAUUGUCUUGUUCCUAAGCACUUGCUCCUUUCGAUCGAAAAUCUGAACCGGUUCCUCUUCAUAGGUCAGAUCUCUCGUCAAACUGAUCGGCUGCUCUUGCAGCACAUGAGAAGGAUCGGCAAUAUACUUGCGAAGCAUGGAUACAUGAAACACAUUAUGUAUCCUAGCUAACUCUGGAGGCAAAAGUAGCCGAUAAGCAAGUGAGCCAACUCGCUGUAUAAUCUCAUAAGGGCCAAUAUACCUCGGACUAAGCUUCCCACGCUUACCGAAACGCACAACCCCUUUCCAAGGAGAUAAUUUCAGGAACACCCAAUCACCCACUUGAAAUUCAAGGUCUCUCCUACGGACAUCUGCAUAACUCUUCUGCCUACUUUGAGCAGUCUUGAGUCUAUCUCUAACCACUUUAAUCUUCUCAUUCGUAACAUGGAUUAACUCUAGGCCACAAAGCUCUUUUUCCCCCACUUCAUUCCAACACAAAGGCGUACGACACUGCCUCCCAUAAAGAGCCUCAAAGGGAGCCAUACCAAUGCUAGAAUGAUAGCUAUUAUUAUAGGCAAAUUCCAUCAAAGAUAGGUUUUUAUCCCAACUCCCUCUGAACUGCAUGGCACAAGCCCUCAACAUAUCCUCCAAAGUCUGAAUAGUCCUCUCGGACUGCCCAUCAGUCUGAGGAUGAAAAGCAGUGCUGAAGAGUAAUUGGGUACCUAAAGCUGCCUGAAGAGCUCCCCAGAAUUUAGAAGCAAAUCGAGGAUCCCGAUCUGACACUAUUGAUUCAGGAACACCAUGAAGCCUCACAAUUUCAUUCACAUAAAGCUCUGCCAAUUUAUCCAAUUUAUAUUUCUUUCCCACUGGCAAGAAAUGUGCAGACUUGGUGAGUCUAUCCACAAUCACCCAAAUACCGUCAUGCCCUUCACGGGUACGAGGUAAACUGAAAACGAAAUCCAUGGUGAUGUGGUCCCACUUCCAACUGGAAUAGGCAACGGCUCAAGCAAUCCAGAAGGCUUCUGCCUUUCAGCUUUUACUUGCUGACAAACUAGUCAUCUACUCACAUAAGCUGCAAUUUCCCUCUUCAUGUUUGGCCACCAAUAAUAAUCCUUCAAAAUCCGAUACAUUUUUGUGCUACCCGGAUGAGCAGCAUAUGCAGAGCUAUGAGCUUCCUCCAUAAUCUCAAUCUUCAACUCUUCAUUUCUUCUUGGAACACAUAGCCGAUUCUUAAACAAUAGAGUCCCAUCUCUUCUAACUGAAAAAUGAUCGGCUGCGGCUCCAUUCGAAGCUCUUUCCAUCAAUCGAACUAUGGAAGGAUCAUUAUACUGUGCUUCCCGCACUCUAUCAACCAAAACUGGCCUCACAUGAAAACUGGCUAUCAAAGCACCCACCUCAUCUACUGAUAAAUCCACUCCUGUAGCUCGCAACUCACAAAGAAAGCAGAACACGAACCAUCUUUAUAUGAGAUAAAGAUAUAGAGGGAUUUCGACUAAGAGCAUCUGCUACCACAUUAGCUUUUCCAGGGUGAUACUCAAUUAUGCAAUCAUAAUCAUUGAUUAACUCCAUCCAUCUUCUCUGUCUCAUAUUAAGCUCUCUUUGAGUGAACACAUACCGAAGACUCUUGUGAUCGGUAAAUAUCUGACACUUGGCUCCAUAAAGAUAGUGUCUCCACAACUUGAGAGCGAAAACUACCGCUGCAAGCUCCAGAUCAUGAGUAGGAUAAUUCCCCUCAUGUGGCUUCAAUUGCCUAGAAGCGUAGGCAAUAACUCGAUCAUGCUGCAUCAAAACUCCACCUAGACCACGUCUAGAAGCAUCACAAUAGACCACAUACUCUCCACUCUCAUCCGGAAGUGCCAAAACAGGAGCACUUGUUAAGCAAUUCUUCAAUUCUUGGAAACUUUGCUCACAUUGAUCUGACCAUUCAAACUUAACCCCCUUCCUGGUCAAUCUUGUAAGAGGAGCAGCAAUCUUUGAAAAAUCUUUCACAAAGCGCCGAUAAUAACCUGCUAAUCCUAAGAAACUACGAAUCUCCGUCACAGUGGUGGGUCUUCUCCAAUUCGACACUGCUUCCACCUUUUGGGGAUCCACACUAACUUCUUCUGCCGAAAUCACAUGACCCAAAAACCCCACUUUAUCUAGCCAGAACUCACACUUGCUAAACUUAGCAAAUAACUGCGACUUUUCCAAAGUCCACAAUAUUAUUCUUAGAUGCUUGGCAUGCUCCUUCUCACUUCUUGAGUAAACCAAUAUGUCAUCUAUGAAUACGAUCACGAAACGAUCAAGGUAUGGACUAAACACCCUAUUCAUGAGAUCCAUGAAUGCCGCGGGUGCAUUAGUAAGUCCAAAAGGCAUCACCACAAAUUCAUAAUGACCAUAACGUGAUCGGAAAGCAGUCUUGGUUAUGUCCCCCUCUCGGAUCCACAACUGAUGAUAACCCGAUCUCAAAUCAAUCUUAGAGAAAAUAGAGGCACCCCUCAACUGAUCAAAUAAAUCAUCGAUCCGAGGCAACGAAUAUUUAUUCUUCACUGUGACCUGAUUCAACUUUCUAUAAUCAAUGCAUAGUCUCAUGGUGCCAUCUUUCUUCUUAACAAACAACACUGGAGCACCCCAUGGAGACAUGCUAGGCCGAAUAAAACCCUUAUCUACCAACUCCUGCAAUUGAGUCUUCAACUCUUUCAAUUCCACUGGAGCCAUUCUGUAAGGUGCCUGAGAGAUAGGCAUGGUUCCAGGAAGUAAUUCUAUAGAGAAGUCUAUCUCCCUUGCAGGAGGCAAACCAGGCAACUCUUCAGGAAAAACAUCCGGAAACUCCCUUACUACUGGAAUAUCUUCUAAUCCCACAACUCCCAUACUUGUAUCCACCACAUGAGCUAAAUAUGUCUGACAGCCUUUACUCAACAAUUUCCUUGCAGCAACAACGAAAAAUAUGCAACUAGAAAUAACAUCUCUUUCCCCUUGGAAAGCAACCUCAAAACCAUCUGGACUUCGAAGCACCACUACUUUCUGAAAACAAUCUACCAUAGCUCUAUAUGCUUCCAAAAAGUCCAUUCCUAAGAUCACAUCAAACUCCACUAUAUCUAAAGGAAUUAAAUCAGCCUCGAAAUUAACUCUUUCCACUAAAACUUCACCACCACUAAAUACCCAAUUUAUUCUCAUCACCUCACCGGAGGGUAGAGACACAUGCCACUCGCCUGGAAGAGACGAUGAUGGCACAUUGGCAUGGAGGGCAAAUCUACUAGACAUGAAUGAAUGCGUGGCUCCGGGAUCAAUUAAAGUAAAAGCAGGCUGACCGAAAAUUAAUAACGUACCAAUGAUGACAUCUGGAGAAGUACGACCCUCCUGCUGGGUCAUAGCAUGUAGUCAUGGGACGUCCACGCUGACUACCGCCCCGCUGAGAGCCACCUCUGACAGAUGCACUGCCCUGGGCACCACUACUGGAGCCUCUAGCUGAAGACUGACCAACUGGCUGAGUAGGGGUGGGAGUCGUCCUCUGAGCCAAUAAUGGACAAUCUCUCCUGAAGUGGUCUUGACUACCACACUCAAAGCACCCAGAAAACUGCUGCUGCCCAUAAGAAAAAGUCUGGCUACCGGACGACCCACCAUGGAAGCUACCACCAGAAUCAUACUGUCUAGUCUGCUGCCUACCCAACUGGCUCCGAGAAGAACUUCUGAAACGUCCCUUAGACCUGGUUCGAACACCAGAGCUAGAUUUACCACUACUUCCACUACCAGCUGAAGAUCCAGAAGCGGAUGAUGAAGCAGCCUUCUUGGAUGGACCCUGACUGGGGCCACUGAAAUCUCGUGGCCGAGCACUAUAAAUCCCCAUAGACUCAAUGGCCAUGGCUGCAUGAACAACAUCAGAAAAAGUCGGGUAAUAAACACCCGUCAUCUUAUCUGCAAACACUCCACCAAGUGCCCCAAUGAACAUCUCCAUCCUGGUCCUCUCAUCAGGAACCAGAUAUGACACAUGGUAGCUCAGGGAAGUGAAUCUCUCUUGUAACUCUAUAACACCCUCAUCAUCCCUCUUCUUCAUAUUCAGGAAAUCCGACUGAAUUCUGUUGCGGUGGGCAGGACUGGAAUACUGCCCCAAGAAGAGAGUCUUAAACUGCUCCCACGACAUAUUCAGCGCAUCCUCAACAUUCCUGUUGGCAAGCGACCACCAGUGAUGUGCUGAAUCAUCCAGAAAAGUCACUGCUAUCUUCACCUUUCUUUCUUCUGGCAGCUCAGUACUCGCAAAAGCCUUUUCCAUCUUAUCCACCCAAUUGUGAGCAACAAGAGGUCCCUUGGCACCCUUGAACUCUCUAGCUCCAGCAUCAAAAACUUCUCUCCUUUUCACAACAGGAGGGCGUGGAGCACGAUCCAUGACAUCCCUCAGCAUAUUUCCAAUAUCAUCAACCAGUCCCCUGACCUCAUUGCCCUCAUCGGCAUUGGUCGAAGUGGCCACACGGGGUUGCCGUGGGCGCCUAUAAGGCAUAGUACUUGAGGAAGAAGAAAUUUAGUAGUCCAUAAACAAGACUAACACAACAAUCACACAUACCCAAUAACACAUAGCAUCAAAAGCAUAAAAUGCCAAUGAAUCUGCCGCGGUCGGAUCAUCACUCUAUAGACACUACGUGCUACUAGGGGUGGACUUUUAGGCACCGAAAAAACCGAAACCGGUUAAAACCGCACCGAACCAACACCGAGUAACCAAAACCGAAUAGAACCGAGACAAUCGGUUCCGGAAACCACACAAACCAAGUAGUGCGGUGUCGGUUUGCGGUUCCGUGCAUCCUAAAAACCGAUUAAACCGAACCGAACCGACAUAUAUUCAUUCUCCAUAUAUUAAUUAUUAAUACUUAAUUCUACAUUACAUGUCAUAUUCUUAUCGGUUAUGGGUUGUAAAUAGUAGGCUUUCACACACAUGAUUAUGUCUUUAAGUGUUUAAGUCUAACCGAAAUCCUUCCCAUGUAAUUUUAUCUUUUGUUAUAUAUGAAUGUUGGAGGCUUCAAAUAAAUUAUGUAUAAAUUUUAGCUUCCCUUUUCAUUUGGAUUAGUUAUUUGAACCCAUUAGAUUAACUUAUUUGAAGUGUUGAUAGUUUACAACUUUGAUAUGUUUAUUUUUUAUGUUAUUUGGUUAAGUGUAAAAAAUAUUAUGGAUAAUAGGUUUUGUAACCGAAACCGCACCGAAACCGAACCGAUGUUAGGUUAACCGACAAGUGCGGUCUUUUAUAUAUUUUCAUCGGUUUCGGUUCUAGAAAAUAGAAAACCGAAGCUUCGGUUUCGGUUUUCGGUUAGUGCCUAAAAACCGAACCAUUGGGACCGAGUCCACCCCUACGUGCUACUUAGGCAAAUAUGAUAGUGACAAGGAAGCAGGAAAAGGAAACCUAUAGCUCUGAUACCAACUGACACGACCCACCCCGAAUUUCACCCUGAAACCCGGAGUAAGUCGUGCGGGGACCACCUCCAAGGAAAAUUUACUGAAAAGAUUAAGAAAAUCUCCCUUGAAAAUGGACAACCCUAACUCGAAAAUUCCAAAUUACACUCUUAAUACAACACGUCCAAAUAUCACAUAAUUAUCCUUCAGAAAUUCUAAACAUAAUAUACAAUAAUCCCAAAGUAUUCAGAGCUACUAGACACUAGCGGAAGCAAGAAAAUACUAGUAGGUUAAACAGGUAACCUACUGAUGAAAACUGGCGGAAAUGCGGGUGACUAUGCCUCGCCUCCUACUAGAUCCAACCCGAACUCUGCAGACUGGGCAUUUUAAAAAGAAGGGCCCAGGGGAAAACAUUUGAAACCGUUAGAGUGAGUGGACAAAAAUAACUUUUUAAAAGAAAAUUAAUCUUUAUGCUUUCCCGAUUUAUCUUCAGUGGAAAAACAAUUAAUGGCAUGCAACCAGCUCAAAAGCCUUUAAAAAAUUUACCGAAUUAUCAAAACGUGACUAGCCGCGCUAGUCACCAACACUUCAAAAAUAAGAGCAUCUCAGGCUAAAAUAAAAUAUGUAUGUAUUACACUCGUCAUAUCCCUUGUAUGAAUUUUCUUGAAACAAUAAAGACAAAUAGAAAAUUCACACAAGGCUACGACGCUUACGUCUAACUCUCACGUCGCACCAUAAUGGCAUUUUACCUCAUUAUGGUGGAAAAGACGGUGUAUAAAUAUAUAUACGCGCAUAUCCCCUAUAUAAAUUAUUAUAUUUAUAUAGGGCUACGACGAUUGCGUUUAACGCUCACGUCGCACCAUAAUGGAAUUUUACCUCAGUAUGGUGGAAAAGCACGUAUAGCUAGCUAGCAUUUCUCCAUAUACAUAUUAUUCUCAUAAACAUCCAAAUAUGGAUAUAUAUACAUACUCACCGAAAUUCUCAAUUUCGGUUAAUCUCUAACAACUUAAAUUAUUUUGCAUGCACAUUGUUUAAAAUAAAAGUCCACUCACUAAUUAGGCCUAAGCCUGAUGACGCUCCGAGGCUUCCUCUGCUCGGGCAUUCUCUUGUCCUGUUCCAAAAAUAUAAUUAAUUCCCCACUAAAAAUUCAAUAUUUAAUCAAAAUAGGCAAAAUUACCCGAGAGCCAUAAAUACGCUCAUCAUUGCCUAACUUCGAUAUUCUUAAAUCGAAACGAUCCGAACUUAAAUAUCAUACUCGACAGUCGUAAAUACAACCUCCCCAAAAUACGACUUAAAUUCUACGGCCGGAUUCUACAUUAAUUAACCGCCAAAAAUACCAAACUUCGGAAAUUCACAAACCUAUCCAAAUCUCAUCCAAAAAUUCCAUAAUCACAUCAAUAUAAUCCCCUUAAUAUUCCACAUUUAAAACCCUAAAAAUCUCCCAAACCGCCGGCGGCUCCGCCGGCAGCGGCGGCCGAAGGCCAAUUCCGGCGACCUCCAAAACCUAUGAAAUUUUGACAGAAUAAUCCUCUCAUCAUGCUAUACAACUUUCCUGACUAGCACAAACACCAAUUCCAAGCCUAACUAGGGUAAUCGACUAAAAACAUCAAAAACGCCAUAAAACUUCCACCUCAAAUAUCUCCUUACCUAGCUCAAGAGGGAGUGAGUCCUUUUAGGGCAAGGCUGCUGGGUUGGAGGGCUACAAAACCGUACCAAGCUUGCCCGGAUUGGUGACCAGAGGAGGGAGUUCCGGCGAAAUGCUUCCCGGCGUCUCCGGCGGGAUUUCUCCUCUUCCGGCGGGUUAGAGGCUCGGGGGCUAGGCCGGGGAGGGAGAGGAGGAGAUGGGGGUCCGAACUGAGGUGGAGAGGCGGCAGAUGGUGGCCGGACGACGGCAGGAGGACGGCUGGAAAACCGGGCAGCGGGAGGGGCUCGGGAGAGAGAGGGAACCGGGAGGAGAAAAGAGAAGAAAAGAGAAAAUGGGUUUGGGCCUCACACCCCAAACCGGUCUAAGCUUAUAACAACCCACUUCCAAAAAAUAAAACACCCCGAAAAAUAAUACCUGAAUAAAAAUUACCUUUAACUAGCUAAAAUUUACCAUUUUUACCGUCGUCAUAUUUUCUCCCACGAAUAAUUCCCUGAAAUUAAUCGUCCCUUAAAAUACCUCUAGAGACCAAUUAAACUAUUAC
rnacentral:lncRNA from 1 species